UAUAACUGGUUCACAUCUCAGCUGCUGGCCCUUGCCAUAAGUCUGCACGAUUUACCUUGGCUCUCACUUGCACUGAGGAUGAGGUCAUCACAGGAAGAGACAAUGGAGAAGACCUCUGGAGGGGGUGCAAUAAACCAUAUAUCAGGAGGAGGGAAGAAGCCUUCAGGCAUGAGAUCCUUGGCAGCUGUGUGUGAGAGUUUGGUCAUUCAUUUCACUGCCGCACCAUCAGUAUUCCUGUGAAUAUCCCAUGACUUAUCCAUUAUGCUGUUGAUGGUGAAUUCCCAGCUCUGCGACAUGGGGUCCUCACCCUCCGGGGCUGCACAGGUACACACAGGAGAGCCAGAAGGUGAGAGGCAGUGGGGAAAUGUGAAAUGUGCUCUGGAAAUGGAAGGUAAUGAAAAUAAACAAAGAGAGGGGAAAUAAAAAUGAAGGUAGACUGCUUAUGAGAAAUGGGUGGGUGAGAAAGGUUUGGGAAACCAUUGACAGGAAAAGAAUGAUUAACAUGUGAGUCAUGCCAAUUACCUUUAAAGACAGUUUUCCACUGUUCACAAAGGCAGCAUGGUACAUUGGAGAGAGUAUUGAGUCUUAGUACAAAUUUCACAACAGCAUAUCCACGGCUGUGGAUGUAAAUGUCAUGUAAAUGUUUGCAGUCUGUAGUUCUCUAUCUGUUAGACAGUGCUAUUAAUACCUACCUGACUCUUUUGAGAGAAUGGCAUGAAAGCAUACGGAUGUUUAUAAUAAAUAGCAAUGAUGAGAGCAAUAGAAGCAUUACUGCAGUUUAAGAAGUCAGUUUAAAAAGUAAGAUGCAUUGGGCUUUUUAGGAAUAGAAGAGUACGUGGAAAUUUUUUCAAAGUUCAUAUUUCUCAGCCUUUUAAAUUUGUCCUUACCCUAAAAAAAAAGAGGAUGGCUUCCCUGAAGUAUAUGUACGGCUUCCUUGGACUCCACAAGGUUAGAAGCCUCCCAUCUCUCAUGAUUGAACACUUCCAAGACAUUGGAUCAUUUCCUGAACUUCAUUUAUUUAGUAACUAAUCUUUUAUUGCCUUCCCUCUUUUAAAGGCAGCCAGUCUCACUCCCACCUGCAUCCCCUUUCAAGGUCUCACCUCUUGAAUCACUUGGAUAAUACUCAGACACACCACGAACCAUUGAGAUGGAGAGCUGAUAAGUGAAGGUCAUUUUUUUCCCCCUAACCAUCUACUUCUUGGACGAUUUUCAAUAAUCUCAGCAAAUCACUCAUGUCAUUCUCCUGGGCCACCUCAUUAAUAUUCCCAGUCAACAGGUUUCUUUUGGCUCUUCUGUCCGGGAAGGACGGCUUUCCACGGCCCCAGGACUCCAGGAGAAUUAGUCUGUACCUGAAAUUCCCACAAAGCCCUCGACUGCAAGAUUCACGUUUCCUGAGCUGAUGAUAAAGUAAGAUGUGCAGAGACAGCUUAGCUCCAGCAUUGGUUUAAUUAAGUAAAUCAGUGGCUUUUUGGCUACAGCUCAGCAGCAUCUCUUGGCUUCCUCUUCAUGGUCAGAAGAGGACUGUAACAACUCCAGGUUUCACAUUUAGUUUCUUCAGUGUCUGGGAUCUGGGGAAAGAGUGGGAGAAAGGCUGUGUCUUCUUCUGUGUCUGUGUGAGUGAGCACUCUGUUUUUUUUCCCCAAAGAGCCAUUUCCCUCAAGAGAAAUUCCCAGGACUUCAUCACAACACAGUUCACUCUCAACACAGUGGGUGCAAGUGCUGGUCAGAGCCAUGGGUCUGAGUCAAGAAUGAGUGAAAGCCUCAGGAGAACCACCACCAAGGUGCCAGUAUUCAGAUUUCACAGAAAAGGACACUGAAGCUGGGAGGCAUUGCGUGCUGGCCCAAGUCCUGGCCCAUGAGUGACAGAGUCAAGUCAAGUCCAUGACCUUGCUCCGUCACCCACCGGGGUCAAGGCAGGGUGAACUAUAGUAACAGCCAGGGCAGCGUAACUCAGGAAGCGCUUGCCUUCUACCAAGAGGCAUCACUUCACUUCUUUACUUCCUUCACUGCGUCGUUGGCAUCUCUGGAAGUCUUCCAGCCAACAUGCUGCUCACUGGGAGACAUGCAGACCGCUGUCUAAAUACUCAUAAGUCACCUGUCUAAAACUAGGAGAAAACAUAAAAUAGAAAAAUCAAAACCUUGAAGGCAGAGUCUCGAUUUGCAUCAGAGAGGUGACCCAGGCCAUGCUGAAGUGAGGAACAGGUUGAACAACUGUACCUUUUGAGUGGAACCUGAAUUUUACUUGCUAGAAGAAAAACUUGAAUUACCACAUUACAGGACUGAGAGGCAUCUUUAGCUGAAGUUUUUCUGGUCUUUUAUUUCACACAUCAAUUGUCAGUGAUGCUGUAAGAAUAACACGGCUAAAGAGUGGCAGAAAAAAGACUCAAAUGCAAAUCCUUGGACUCCUAUGUUAGGGAUUAUCAGAAGUUUUUAUUUCUAGAGCUUGUUGUAUAUAAAGUGCCAAGUAAUUUGCUCUCACAAAGCAAAAGGUGUAUGAUCUCCUAAGACUGAAUGCAUUGCAGGGGUGUGGAAAAAAAGGAGCAAGUCUCUGAAGACUGGGAUUUUUCCUGAGCCUGCCCAUGGGGAACAGAAAUUUUCAAAGUUGAAUCAAGGUCUGACCACCACGGCGAAUUGAAAUGCUUGCCAAACUCCCAGCCAAACAAGCAGCAGAUGUUCAAUUUGAAAAAACAUAUCUUUCCUGAACAAUAAUGUUUGGUUUCCUGUCAAUCACACCGAGCCACCCACAGGAAUGGGGGCAGGGAGAGGCAGGUGGGCAUGGAGGAGGAAGCACAGAAGCACUGGCCACAGGACGGGGACCAAGGGUCUCCUUACGCUGGCUUCCCUGAUCCUGCCACAGCGAGUACUGGAGUCAGGUGCAUCAUUUGCUCUCAGGCUCCACCAUCUCCAGAUGCUACAGCCAGCUGUGUGCAAGAGGAGGCAUCGCCCUUACCAUGUCACAAUGUUUUUGAGUUUCACCUGGCCUGCAACAACUAGGAAACACCGAUGAGUUUCUACUUAUAUUUCUACCUGUAUAAAUAUCACUGCAACUUAAGCAAGGGGUCUCCACUCAGAUUUUCCUUAUGGCUCUUUGUAAUCCACUGCUUUUCCAAUUUCACUGCCUUUCCCAGGGAGCUAAUGUCCUUUCUAUGACCAUUGGCCCACUUGCAUUUUUGAGAAUUUUAUGUAGUUACAAUCAUAUCGUUUGUACUCGUUCACUGUCUGCCUUCUUUCACACCAUUAUUCUGAGAUGCAUUCAACAUGAGUGGAUCAAUAUUUUGUUACUUUGUAUUUAUAGUAUUCCAUUGUAUAGACACUCUUCUGUGUGGCAGCAUGAGAGCCCAGCUGCUGUACAUACCCAAGCCCAUGUGCUCAGGUAGGCAAGUUAAUUUAAAUAAAGCUCCA